AUUGAACGCUGGCGGCAGGCUUAACACAUGCAAGUCGAGCGAGCGGCGGACGGGUGAGUAAUGUCUGGGAAACUGCCUGAUGGAGGGGGAUAAAUACUGGAAACGGUAGCUAAUACCGCAUACCAUCAGAUGUGCCCAGAUGGGAUUAGCUAGUAGGUGGGGUAAUGGCUCACCUAGGCGACGAUCCCUAGCGGGUCGGAGAGGAUGACCACCCACCCUGGAACUGAGGCACGGUCCAGCCUCCUACGGUAGGCAGCAGUGGGGAAUAUUGCACAAUGGGCGCAAGCCUGAUGCAGCCAUGCCGCGUGUUUGAAGAAGGCCUUCGGGUUGUAAAGCACUUUCAGCUAGGAGGCGUUACUCGCAGAAGAAGCACCGGCUAACUCCGUGCCAGCAGCCGCGGUAAUAC
rnacentral:rRNA from 1 species